rnacentral:rRNA from 1 species
CAGUCGCCGCGGUAAUACAGAGGGUGCGAGCGUUAAUCGGAUUUACUGGGCGUAAAGCGUGCGUAGGCGGCUUUUUAAGUCGGAUGUGAAAUCCCUGAGCUUAACUUAGGAAUUGCAUUCGAUACUGGGAAGCUAGAGUAUGGGAGAGGAUGGUAGAAUUCCAGGUGUAGCGGUGAAAUGCGUAGAGAUCUGGAGGAAUACCGAUGGCGAAGGCAGCCAUCUGGCCUAAUACUGACGCUGAGGUACGAAAGCAUGGGGAGCAAACAGGAUUAGAUACCCCAGUAGUCUCUGUCUCUUAUAC